CACGACUAGAGAAGAGCCCAUGCCGCAACCAAGACCCAACACAGCCAUGAGAGGUCUCUCCAUCCCUGCCAGAAGUCUGAUGGCCACUGUCUUCUGUUUGCCCCUAAAUAAAGGAAAAUGCUUCUUCCUUUCAAGUUUUAUAGCUUUUUAUAAAAUGCAUCCUGAUCAUAAUCAGGAGAAUUGACCUUUCUAUCCACGAUGCUGCUGGACCCUGACCUGAGACUGAAGCCCACAGCUUAGAUUUACUUUCUAAAGUAGAACAGUUGGCCCUUGGUAUCUGGAGGGGGUUGGUUCCAGGACACCCCGCAGAUACUAAAAUCCGUGGACACUUAACUCCCUUCUAUAACAGAAAGGUUCGCCAGCCCUCUGUACCCGUGGGUUCUGCAUCCAGAGUUCUCUACCCUCUCCAAUUCUUCCCACCUCAAUCACAGCGGCUGACUGUAGUUUCCAGAAGGUACUUCUUUCUCCAACUGUCAGAAUCACUUUGAAACAAUGACUGUGACUUUUCUAGAAUUUUCUCACUUGAAGCUGUUCCAUGCCCAUAUUCCUGUCUUAGGCUUAGAGAACUCUUCGGUUCUGCUCCAUCUUGAUUGUUAAAUGAUCUCUGAAGCCCUCAUUGCUUUGUUCAAGUUGUGUGAUAUUUUUGCCCUUGGUGAAAAAUCAAUUUUUUAAACAGUGAACCAGCCUGGAUAUUGUCAUGGAUAGAAUCAUUGCAGCCUUCUAUGCUGAUGACCAUUUAAACCUGUUUAAAUCAGAAAUGACACGGAGCAGUCAGAGGACCAUUCUGCAUCUCUGUAAGCACUUUUUAAACAUGAUCUUCUCUAGUACAAGCCCUCUUUUAGAUUUCUUUCUGGAUGUUUGUUUUAUUGACAGUUAACUAUUUCUUUGCCUUACUAUACAUUUAGGCUCAACUUAAAAUUGGUGCUUGUUAUAAGCAGAUCUAUAAAACCAGUUAUAGUUUUGGUGUUUUGGUAAAUAGCUGAGCUGGUGUAUUUAGAAAUGACCAUGAUGCUUCUGCUUCUGGAGAUGAGCAAAGAAGGCUCAACAGUGCCAGCUUCUCCCCACCACCGGGCCUCCACCCAACUGUAAACCAACAUUCAAGUUUAGUAACUUUUUGUAUUGAUGCCUAUAGAAACCGGUAAUAAAAAUGUGUACUACAGGUUUCCGUGUUUACAUGAAUGUUGCCAAAAGGCUGUGUUUUCUUGGAUAAGAGGUCAGAAUUUAUGAACAACAGAUGCUGUGUGAAUGGAAUCAUUUUACAAUUAAGUGCAACUUCAUCAUAACUCAAAAGGUAAAUUUAAUCCAAAUGGAAAUUUUGUAUCAGCUAAGUUUAUCUUUGUGUGGAUUUCCCUGUUUUUAAUGGUUAUUAAUAUUUUAAUCAGGUAUCUUUUUUAAAC